rnacentral:rRNA from 1 species
GACAGAGGGUGCAAACGUUGUUCGGAAUUACUGGGCGUAAAGCGCGUGUAGGCGGCCAUCUAAGUCGGGCGUGAAAUCCCACGGCUCAACCGUGGAAGGGCACUCGAAACUGGAUGGCUAGAGUCCUGGAGAGGAAGGUGGAAUGCUUGGUGUAGAGGUGAAAUUCGUAGAUAUCAAGCGGAACACCGGUGGCGAAGGCGGCCUUCUGGACAGUGACUGACGCUGAGACGCGAAAGCGUGGGGAGCAAACAGG